rnacentral:rRNA from 1 species
GUGCCAGCCGCCGCGGUAAUACGGAGGGGGCUAGCGUUGUUCGGAAUUACUGGGCGUAAAGCGCGCGUAGGCGGCUUUGUAAGUUAGAGGUGAAAGCCCGGAGCUCAACUCCGGAAUAGCCUUUAAGACUGCAUCGCUAGAAUCGUGGAGAGGUAAGUGGAAUUCCGAGUGUAGAGGUGAAAUUCGUAGAUAUUCGGAAGAACACCAGUGGCGAAGGCGACUUACUGGACACGUAUUGACGCUGAGGUGCGAAAGCGUGGGGAGCAAACAGGAUUAGAUACCCGAGUAGUCC